UACGGAGGGGGCUAGCGUUGUUCGGAAUUACUGGGCGUAAAGCGCGCGUAGGCGGCUUUGUAAGUUAGCGGUGAAAGCCCGGAGCUCAACUCCGGAAUUGCCUUUAAGACUGCAUCGCUAGAAUCAUGGAGAGGUUAGUGGAAUUCCGAGUGUAGAGGUGAAAUUCGUAGAUAUUCGGAAGAACACCAGUGGCGAAGGCGACUAACUGGACAUGUAUUGACGCUGAGGUGCGAAAGCGUGGGGAGCAAACAGG
rnacentral:rRNA from 1 species